GCUGCCACACAGGCCUCAACAAUUCUCCCUGGAACGGCCUCUUCCUCUGGCUGACUCACGCACACAAAACACCUGACACAUACGCUUGAACCUGCUGUGCGGAGUUGUACCUCGCAGAAAGGGAGCUAUGAGCGCAAAGGCAGCCCAGUCUCUGAAGGCCUAGGCCUGCAAGUCACAGAAGCCUGAAAACCUGAGCCCCCAUCCCAGGAUUCCACAGGAAGGAGAGAAUCGAUUCCUGAAAUGUGUCCCCUGAUGUCGACACCAUCUUCUCUACAGAGACACAGCAGGGCUAAAGACGCUUUCCAGCCACGUGGCCAGACCACCAGACCGUGAAAGGACGAGAAGAAGUGGCCCUCUUCCUGCUCUGAAUUCCUCCACCUUGGAAAGAGCAGGCCACGCCUCCCCUUCACCUGCCUGCCUGCCCCUCGCUCCGCCUUCCUGCGGCUGGGAUUCCUGAUCUGUAAGCAAAGCCUUCGCGGUCCCCGGGACACUGGAAGAAAGGUUCUGUCCUCGUGUCUGCAGCAGAAGAAGAAGAAAUCACAGUUCUCACCUCAAAAGAUUAAGAGUCUACUCUAGAGUUGAAUGUACUGUGGAGCAGUGACGCAGAGGACGCAGACAGGAAAUGCUCAUCCCUUCAGGCUGAGAAGAUGAGAUUGGAGCAGAGACGGAGAGAAUUCCAGGGGAAGACAACUCCAAUUCAGAGCUCCUAAAAUAGAUCAAUGGAAUGUUGUGGGGAAACCCCAAAGGGGUGUGCAAGAUGGGAGGGGCAUGGCAUGAGGGGAGGGUGAGGAGAGGAGGGGCUAGGUAGCCUGCCUAGCUGAAUGAGUGAGCACUAGGGUCCCUGAGAGCCCCUGUGUCAAAUAAUAAUAAAUAAGGUGGAGGGUCAAUGAGAUGGGUGGGUGGGUGAAGGUGCCUACAUGCCUGGCAGCCUGGGUUCAGUCCCCAGAACCCAUAAGGAGAUAAACUAACUACGAACCUCUACGCUCACGCUGUGGCAUGU